rnacentral:rRNA from 1 species
ACAUGCAGUCGAACGGUGAAGCCAAGCUUGCUUGGUGGAUCAGUGGCGAACGGGUGAGUAACACGUGAGCAACCUGCCCUGGACUCUGGGAUAAGCGCUGGAAACGGCGUCUAAUACUGGAUAUGAGCUCCUUCCGCAUGGUGGGGGUUGGAAAGAUUUUUCGGUCUGGGAUGGGCUCGCGGCCUAUCAGCUUGUUGGUGAGGUAAUGGCUCACCAAGGCGUCGACGGGUAGCCGGCCUGAGAGGGUGACCGGCCACACUGGGACUGAGACACGGCCCAGACUCCUACGGGAGGCAGCAGUGGGGAAUAUUGCACAAUGGGCGGAAGCCUGAUGCAGCAACGCCGCGUGAGGGAUGACGGCCUUCGGGUUGNUAAACCUCUUUUAGCAGGGAAGAAGCGAAAGUGACNGGUACCUGCAGAAAAAGCGCCGGCUAACUACGUGCCAGCAGCCGCGGUAAUACGUAGGGCGCAAGCGUUAUCCGGAAUUAUUGGGCGUAAAGAGCUCGUAGGCGGUUUGUCGCGUCUGCUGUGAAAUCCCGAGGCUCAACCUCGGGCCUGCAGUGGGUACGGGCAGACUAGAGUGCGGUAGGGGAGAUUGGAAUUCCUGGUGUAGCGGUGGAAUGCGCAGAUAUCAGGAGGAACACCGAUGGCGAAGGCAGAUCUCUGGGCCGUAACUGACGCUGAGGAGCGAAAGGGUGGGGAGCAAACAGGCUUAGAUACCCUGGUAGUCCACCCCGUAAACGUUGGGAACUAGUUGUGGGGACCAUUCCACGGUUUCCGUGACGCAGCUAACGCAUUAAGUUCCCCGCCUGGGGAGUACGGCCGCAAGGCUAAAACUCAAAGGAAUUGACGGGGACCCGCACAAGCGGCGGAGCAUGCGGAUUAAUUCGAUGCAACGCGAAGAANCCUUACCNAAGGCUUGACAUAUACGAGAACGGGCCAGAAAUGGUCAACUCUUUGGNACACUCGUAAACAGGUGGUGCAUGGUUGUCGUCAGCUCGUGUCGUGAGAUGUUGGGUUAAGUCCCGCAACGAGCGCAACCCUCGUUCUAUGUUGCCAGCACGUAAUGGUGGGAACUCAUGGGAUACUGCCGGGGUCAACUCGGAGGAAGGUGGGGAUGACGUCAAAUCAUCAUGCCCCUUAUGUCUUGGGCUUCACGCAUGCUACAAUGGCCGGUACAAAGGGCUGCAAUACCGUAAGGUGGAGCGAAUCCCAAAAAGCCGGUCCCAGUUCGGAUUGAGGUCUGCAACUCGACCUCAUGAAGUCGGAGUCGCUAGUAAUCGCAGAUCAGCAACGCUGCGGUGAAUACGUUCCCGGGUCUUGUACACACCGCCCGUCAAGUCAUGAAAGUCGGUAACACCUGAAGCCNNNGCCCAACCCUUGNGGAGGGAGCCGUCGA